rnacentral:lncRNA from 1 species
CAUUUGUUUGUUUUGUCUAUGAUUUCUUUCAGCAGUGUUUUGCAGUUUUCUUUGCAGAGGUCUUUCACCUCCUUGCUUAAGUGUACCUUAAAGUAAUAAAAGCCACCUAUGACAAACCCACAGCCAACAUUAAUACUGAUGGGGAAGAGUUAAAGGUAUUCCCCCUGAGAAGUGGAACAAGACAAGGAUGCCCACUUUCACCACUUCAGUUCAUCAUGCUACUGGAAGUCCUAGCCAGAGCAAUCAGACAAGAGAAAGAAAUAAACGGCAUCCAAAUUGGUAAAGAGGAAGUCAAACUGUCACUGUUUGGUGAUGACAUGAUCAUAUACCUAGAAAACCCUACAGACUCAUCCAAAAAGCUCCCAGAACUGGUAAAUGAGUUCAGCAAAGUACCAAGAUACAAAAUGAAUGUACACAAAGCAGUAACCCUGCUAUACACCAACAGCGACCAAGCUGAGAAUUAAAUCAAUAACUCAACCCCUUUUGCAACAGCUGAAAAAAAAACCUUUGGUUUUUCUAUUUUUAAUCUGACUCAAUCCAAUUUG